GCAUCGAUGAAGAACGCAGCGAAACGCGAUAGGUAAUGUGAAUUGCANAAUUCCGUGAAUCAUCGAAUCUUUGAACGCACCUUGCGCUCUAUGGUAUUCCGUAGAGCAUGCCUGUUUGAGUGCCGUGAAUUCUCCCAUCCCAAGCGGUUUUUAUCAAAGAAUUGCUAGGCGAUGGGGUUGAGAUGGGCGUUAUUAUAACUGCUUUUCUUCUCUAGAAAAGCUCGCCCGAAAAACAGCUAACGCCUCUGGGCCACUUUGCAUCCGCUUCUCUGAGGGGAGAAGCGGCCAAGCGCGCUCUGAUCAUCAGGCAUAGCAUGAUACGUCAUUUGCUAUGCUGUAGGAGAGCAUUUGGUUGUGGUUAUACCGCGUGCGUUAUUUUUUUUUUGCAAACGCAAAGAAAAGCCCCCUUUCAUUUCUGGUCUCAAAUCAGGUAGGAUCACCCGCUGAACUUAAGCAUAUCAAUAAGCGGAGGAA
rnacentral:rRNA from 1 species